rnacentral:rRNA from 13 species
CAGCAGUGAGGAAUAUUGGUCAAUGGCCUAACGGCUGAACUGGCAACUUGGAGAAGUGGCAAGUCUUCCAGUAUGGGGAGCAAAACAGCUAUGGGUCAAGUCCGAUAUCUUUAGGAGAAGUCUUAUUGUGAGGGCGAGUUAUAUAACACCAUAGGACUGGCCGUCCCAUAUGAAAAGAUUAUAUUAGAAUUGAAUGAAGCUUUGUUUAUAUAUUGAUAAUGACAGUAUAUAUAUCGUGUCUUGACUAAUUGCGUGCCAGCAGUCGCGGUAAUACGUAAGAGACUAGUGUUAUUCAUCUUAAUUAGGUUUAAAGGGUACCCAGACGGUCAAUAUAGCUUAUAAAAUGUUAGUACUUGACUAGAGUUUUAUGUAAGAGGGCAGUACUUGAGGAGGAGAGAUGAAAUUUCGUGAUACCAAAGGGACUCUGUAAAGGCGAAGGCAGCCCUCUAUGUAAAAACUGACGUUGAAGGACGAAGGCACAGAGAACAAACAGGAUUAGAUACCCAAGUAGUCUUUGCAGUAAAUGAUGAAUGCCAUAGGUUAGAUUGGUCAAUUAUAGUCUAGGGUUAGUCUAGCAAACUAAUACCCUAUGCUAUAAUCCUAAUAUCUGGUCUAUAAAUGAAAGUGUAAGCAUUUCACCUCAAGAGUAAUGUGGCAACGCAGGAACUGAAAUCACUAGACCGUUUCUGACACCAGUAGUGAAGUAUGUUAUUUAAUUCGAUGAUCC